AGAAUUUGCGUGUAUUUGUUCAACGAGUGGACAAAGGCAGAUUAGAUAGGUACAAAAAUAAUUCCUCUUGCACAGCCCAGAAUAUGUUGUUCAGUAUGAGUUUUGAUAUAUACAAGAAAAAAUA
rfam:Mesocricetus auratus contig043703, whole genome shotgun sequence.